CGGGGUGUGGCGCAGCAUGGUAGCGCGCAUGCUCGGGGAGCAUGAGGCCGGCGGUUCAAGUCCGCCCACCCCGA
rnacentral:tRNA from 1 species